rnacentral:lncRNA from 1 species
GAAGUCAAGGAGGAAAGUUCCAUCGUGUCCUUCAAAGAUCGAUCUGAUAAUUGCGUAUAUAAGGUUUUACCUAACUAGCCCUAAAGGUAAUUUAAAAUCCUCAAGCUCUUCUAGAUACGUUUUCUCGGGAGUUUUGCUUUCAUUAGAGUGGUAUCAGAGCUCUAUCAUGAAGAUUACAUAUAGAAUAGUUCCUCUUACGAUUAUUCGUAAUUAUUUAUUUAAUAGUAGAUGGAAUUUACCCUGAUGAAAUCCCUUGUGGGCUUACGAAAAGAAAAAUAUCCUUAAAGAAAGCAUUACACAUGAAGAAAAGUAGGCUUGCUUCUUUCAAGGCCACUCUACUGAA